rnacentral:rRNA from 1 species
ACGCUCGACACCUACGGAGGCAGCAGUGGGGGAUAUUGCACAAUGGGGGAAACCCUGAUGCAGCAACGCCGCGUGAAGGAAGACGGUUUUCGGAUUGUAAACUUCUGUUCUUAGUGACGAUAAUGACGGUAGCUAAGGAGAAAGCUCCGGCUAACUACGUGUCAGCAGCCGCGGUAAUCUGAGCGGGCUGGCAAGGC